rnacentral:tRNA from 13 species
GUCCUCAUAGUGAAAUGGAUAUCACGUAACCCUCCGGAGGUUAAGUUGUAGGUUCGAUUCCUACUGAGGAUGCCA